rnacentral:rRNA from 1 species
GACGAUCGGUAGCUGGUCUGAGAGGAUGAUCAGCCAGACUGGGACUGCGAACGGCCCAGACUCCUACGGGAGGCAGCAGUUAGGAAUUUUGGGCAAUGGGCGAAAGCCUGACCCAGCAACGCCGCGUGGGUGAUGAAGGCCCUCGGGUCGUAAAGCCCUUUUCCCAGGGAAGAUAGUGACGGUACCUGGGGAAUCAGCCCCGGCUAACUACGUGCCAGCAGCCGCGGUAAUACGUAGGGGGCAAGCGUUGUCCGGAUUUAUUGGGCGUAAAGCGCUCGCAGGUGGUUCGUCGCGUCGUGCGUGAAAGACCCCGGCUCAACUGGGGAGGGUCGUGCGAUACGGGCGAACUGGAGGCCAGUAGGGGGAUGCGGAAUUCCGGGUGUAGUGGUGGAAUGCGUAGAGAUCCGGAGGAACACCAGCGGCGAAGGCGGCAUCCUGGACUGGUCCUGACACUCAGGAGCGAAAGCGUGGGGAGCGAUCCGGAUUAGAUACCCGGGUAGUCCACGCUGUAAACGAUGAGUACUAGGUGUCGGGGGUAUCGACCCCCUCGGUGCCGCAGCUAACGCGAUAAGUACUCCGCCUGGGGACUACGGCCGCAAG